rnacentral:rRNA from 1 species
AACGAACGCUGGCGGCAGGCCUAACACAUGCAAGUCGAGCGAGAUCUUCGGGUCUAGCGGCGGACGGGUGAGUAACGCGUGGGAAUAUGCCUCUUGGUACGGAAUAGCCUCGGGAAACUGGGAGUAAUACCGUAUGUGCCCUUUGGGGGAAAGAUUUAUCGCCAAGAGAUUAGCCCGCGUUGGAUUAGGUAGUUGGUGGGGUAAUGGCCUACCAAGCCGACGAUCCAUAGCUGGUUUGAGAGGAUGAUCAGCCACACUGGGACUGAGACACGGCCCAGACUCCUACGGGAGGCAGCGGUGGGGAAUUUUGGACAAUGGGCGAAAGCCUGAUCCAGCCAUGCCGCGUGCAGGAUGAAGGCCUUCGGGUUGUAAACUGCUUUUGUACGGAACGAAACGGCCUUUUCUAAUAAAGAGGGCUAAUGACGGUACCGUAAGAAUAAGCACCGGCUAACUACGUGCCAGCAGCCGCGGUAAUACGUAGGGUGCGAGCGUUAAUCGGAAUUACUGGGCGUAAAGCGUGCGCAGGCGGUUAUGUAAGACAGUUGUGAAAUCCCCGGGCUCAACCUGGGAACUGCAUCUGUGACUGCAUAGCUAGAGUACGGUAGAGGGGAAUGGAAUUCCGCGUGUAGCAGUGAAAUGCGUAGAUAUGCGGAGGAACACCGAUGGCGAAGGCAAUCCCCUGGACCUGUACUGACGCUCAUGCACGAAAGCGUGGGGAGCAAACAGG